rnacentral:rRNA from 1 species
GUGUCAGCAGCCGCGGUAAGACGAACCGAGCGAACGUUGUUCGGAAUCACUGGGCUUAAAGGGCGCGUAGGCGGGGUCAUAAGUCUGUGGUGAAAUCCUCCGGCUCAACCGGAGAACUGCCUCGGAUACUGUGGCUCUCGAGGGUGGUAGGGGUAUGCGGAACUAUCGGUGGAGCGGUGAAAUGCGUUGAUAUCGAUAGGAACUCCGGUGGCGAAGGCGGCAUACUGGACCACUUCUGACGCUGAGGCGCGAAAGCCAGGGGAGCAAACGGGAUUAGAUACCCCAGUAGUCC